GUCCUAGUAGCUCAAUGGAUAGAGCAACUGCCUUCUAAGCAGUAGGUUGCGAGUUCGACUCUUGCCUGGGACA
rnacentral:tRNA from 1 species